GAAACUACUGCUAAGACUGGAUAGGAGACAAGAAGGCAUCUUCUUGUUUUUAAAAGACCUAGUAAUAGGUAUGCUUAGGGAGGAGCUUGCGUCACAUUAGUUAGUUGGUGGGGUAAAGGCCUACCAAGACUAUGAUGUGUAGCCGGGCUGAGAGGUUGAACGGCCACAUUGGGACUGAGACACGGCCCAAACUCCUACGGGAGGCAGCAGUAGGGAAUUUUCGGCAAUGGAGGAAACUCUGACCGAGCAACGCCGCGUGAACGAUGAAGUAUUUCGGUACGUAAAGUUCUUUUAUUAGGGAAGAAUAAAUGAUGGAAAAAUCAUUCUGACGGUACCUAAUGAAUAAGCCCCGGCUAACUGUGUGCCAGCAGCCGCGGUAAUACAUAGGGGGCAAGCGUUAUCCGGAAUUAUUGGGCGUAAAGGGUGCGUAGGCGGUUAAAUAAGUUUAUGGUCUAAGUGCAAUGCUCAACAUUGUGAUGCUAUAAAAACUGUUUAGCUAGAGUAAGAUAGAGGCAAGUGGAAUUCCAUGUGUAGUGGUAAAAUGCGUAAAUAUAUGGAGGAACACCAGUAGCGAAGGCGGCUUGCUGGGUCUUUACUGACGCUGAGGCACGAAAGCGUGGGGAGCAAACAGGAUUAGAUACCCUGGUAGUCCACGCCGUAAACGAUGAGUACUAAACGUUGGGUAAAACCAGUGUUGAAGUUAACACAUUAAGUACUCCGCCUGAGUAGUACGUACGCAAGUAUGAAACUUAAAGGAAUUGACGGGACUCCGCACAAGCGGUGGAUCAUGUUGUUUAAUUCGAAGGUACCCGAAAAACCUCACCAGGUCUUGACAUGCUUCUGCAAAGCUGUAGAAACACAGUGGAGGUUAUCAGUUGCACAGGUGGUGCAUGGUUGUCGUCAGCUCGUGUCGUGAGAUGUUGGGUUAAGUCCCGCAACGAGCGCAACCCUUAUUGUUAGUUACCAGCACGUAAUGGUGGGGACUUUAGCAAGACUGCCAGUGAUAAAUUGGAGGAAGGUGGGGACGACGUCAAAUCAUCAUGCCCCUUAUGACCUGGGCUACAAACGUGAUACAAUGGCUGUUACAAAGGGUAGCUGAAGCGCAAGUUUUUGGCGAAUCUCAAAAAAACAGUCUCAGUUCGGAUUGAAGUCUGCAACUCGACUUCAUGAAGUUGGAAUCGCUAGUAAUCGCGAAUCAGCAUGUCGCGGUGAAUACGUUCUCGGGGUUUGUACACACCGCCCGUCA
rnacentral:rRNA from 1 species